GGGGAGCGGGGAGCAUUUGGAGGGCGCUGGUGCUGGUCCCGGAGGAGGUGGCUUCCCUUUGCGGCUGGUCUCUGGGUCCGGGUUACAGUUGCCCGCGCGUGCAAGGAACUCCGUAGCCCGUCCCUGGCGGGUCGUAAAGACAGGCGGGGUCUGGGUGGCCCUUCCUCCCUUGGCGCAGAAAUGCUGCCUGGGCCGUCUGCGGGGGCGGCGGGCAGGCCUGGCCCUCCAGGUGAGCGCAGGGCAUCUAAGGCCAUUCGGGAUGCCUUGUGGAUGGGCGGCUAGAAUUUUGGCCUCUGGUCUCUGGGAUCCCUCGUUCUCUCCAGAGCCGAGCUGGCUCUAUCUUCCUCCCUGGAAGUAAGCCUGAAGGCCCUGACAGGCACCCAUAGGAGGUGCCAGCCCUAUUGCCCCCCUCCCCCCACCACUCAAGUUACCACCGUCUCUGCUUAUAGGCCCAGCUCCGGGGUUACCGGGAGGCAGGCACUGCCCUCCCACAUUCCGGAGGGGGACACUUUUAGGCUCUGGGGGCCUCAGCGGUAAAGGAAGGAGAAUCAUGUGAGGCAGGCAUCUCCCCCGGGACCCUGAACAUCCAGGCUGAGGAUAGACUGCCCCUGAGGAGGCUUGCUGGAGGAGGUCUUCCUCCUAAAGGCCUGGGAGAGAGCCGGGCGGCUGGGGGUGGGACAGACGGCUGACCAGGUCCAAGGAUGGGGAGGUGCCCUCCUGACCUCUGUGCCCCCAGAGUCUUUCCCUCAUCGCUGGCCUAGCUCAACCCUUCCUUCUCCUGCCCAACCCUUCCUUCUCCGUGUGGGUGGCUGCUGCAGCCCACCCCAGCAGGGCUCCGGGCCUGCCCUCGUAGCGUGUCUGCUCCUCCCCACCCAGCUCCAGCAGGACACGGACACAUGUCUCCCCGUAGCCCUAGCGCUGAGACGGUCCCAGCGCAUAGGAAGCACCGGUGUUUGUUACUUGCACACAUCUGCCCCAGGUUUACCAACCAAGAAGCUGUCAGGCAAGCUGAGUAACUUGCCUGAAGGCACAGGGCUCAGAGUGACUGAGGUCUGACUGCAGGGGCCCAGGACAGCCAUCUGCCUUUCUCUCAGCUCUCCCUGCCCAGCCCCGUGUCUCCUUGGCUCCUCCUGCAGGGCCUCCGCUGCAGAUGGCGGAAGGGUGGGCCACCAUGCCUGUGCUUGGCCCUGGGUGGCCCCAAGCCAGGGCCUUCAAAGAAGUAAUUCAGGUAAAAUGAGGCCACCUGACUGGUGUGCUCACCAGAGGAAGUGUGGACACACGGGGAGACCAGGAGAACUCACACGCGUUGGGUCCGCCAUACGAAGAGGCUGGCGGCCUAUGAGCCAGGGAGAGAGGCCCCAGAGGAAGCCAGCACACCAGCGCCUUGACCUUGCGCUUCUAGCCUCCAAACUGAAACGGCUUCCUCCCCAGGAAGUCAGCCACGUGACUUGGCGCUGGACUGCCGCUGGGUGGGGCGGGGGACACCUGCCCCCGUGCACACCGGCUGCCAGGAAUGCCGCCCUCUGCCCUCCGCCCUCAAGGAGGGGCCUUCCACCUAUGGCCUGUCGAGGCCGAUUGCCUGGAAGACACGUCCUGGGCCCAAAGAGGCCUGGACGCGUAGAGGGAAACUCCUGCAAUGAGCUGACAUUAAAAAUUCCAUCUAGACCCGGGGCAUCUGGGGUGCCUGAGUGUCUCAGUCGGUUGGGCCUCUGCCUUCAGCUCAGGUCACGAUCUCACGGUCUGUGAGUUUGAGCCCCGCGUCGGGCUC